rnacentral:rRNA from 1 species
AGUGAACGCUGGCGGUAGGCCUAACACAUGCAAGUCGAACGGCAGCACAGUAAGAGCUUGCUCUUACGGGUGGCGAGUGGCGGACGGGUGAGGAAUACAUCGGAAUCUACUUUUUCGUGGGGGAUAACGUAGGGAAACUUACGCUAAUACCGCAUACGACCUACGGGUGAAAGCAGUGGAUCUUCGGACCUUGCGCGAUUGAAUGAGCCGAUGUCGGAUUAGCUAGUUGGCGGGGUAAAGGCCCACCAAGGCGACGAUCCGUAGCUGGUCUGAGAGGAUGAUCAGCCACACUGGAACUGAGACACGGUCCAGACUACUACGGGAGGAAGCAGUGGGGAAUAUUGGACAAUGGGCGCAAGCCUGAUCCAGCCAUACCGCGUGGGUGAAGAAGGCCUUCGGGUUGUAAAGCCCUUUUGUUGGGAAAGAAAAGCAGCAGGUUAAUACCCCGCUGUUCUGACGGUACCCAAAGAAUAAGCACCGGCUAACUUCGUG